GUUGCAACUUGACCAUAUAUAAAGGGGACAGCAUGCUCAGUUAGUGAAACCCUGCAAGAAGGUCCUGAUUCUAGAAGCUGUUAAAGAAGA